GACGAACGCUGGCGGCGUGCCUAGUACAUGCAAGUAGAACGCUGAAGGAGGAGCUUGCUCUUCUGGACGAGUUGCGAACGGGUGAGUAACGCGUAGGUAACCUGCCUGGUAGCGGGGGAUAACUAUUGGAAACGAUAGCUAAUAUCGCAUAACAGUAGAUGUUGCAUGACAUUUGCUUAAAAGGUGCAAUUGCACCACUACCAGAUGGACCUGCGUUGUAUUAGCUAGUUGGUGGGGUAACGGCUCACCAAGGCGACGAUACAUAGCCGACCUGAGAGGGUGAUCGGCCACACUGGGACUGAGACACGGCCCAGACUCCUACGGGAGGCAGCAGUAGGGAAUCUUCGGCAAUGGACGGAAGUCUGACCGAGCAACGCCGCGUGAGUGAAGAAGGUUUUCGGAUCGUAAAGCUCUGUUGUAAGAGAAGAACGAGUGUGAGAGUGGAAAGUUCACACUGUGACGGUAUCUUACCAGAAAGGGACGGCUAACUACGUG
rnacentral:rRNA from 1 species